UGGAACGGUGACCACGGCGGACGACGCAGC
rnacentral:piRNA from 1 species